rnacentral:rRNA from 1 species
GAUGAACGCUGGCGGCGUGCCUAAUACAUGCAAGUCGAGCGAACAGAUGAGGAGCUUGCUCCUCUGACGUUAGCGGCGGACGGGUGAGUAACACGUGGAUAACCUACCUAUAAGACUGGGAUAACUUCGGGAAACCGGAGCUAAUACCGGAUAAUAUAUUGAACCGCAUGGUUCACUAGUGAAAGACGGUUUUGCUGUCACUUAUAGAUGGAUCCGCGCCGCAUUAGCUAGUUGGUAAGGUAACGGCUUACCAAGGCAACGAUGCGUAGCCGACCUGAGAGGGUGAUCGGCCAGCCUGGAACUGAGACACGGUCCAGACUCCUACGGGAGGCAGCAGUAGGGAAUCUUCCGCAAGGGGCGAAAGCCUGACGGAGCAACGCCGCGUGAGUGAUGAAGGUGUUCGGAUCGUAAAACUCUGUUAGUAGGGAAGAACAAAUGUGUAAGUAACUAUGCACGUCUUGACGGUACCUAAUCAGAAAGCCACGGCUAACUACGUG